rnacentral:rRNA from 1 species
GACGAACGCUGGCGGCGUGCUUAACACAUGCAAGUCGAACGGUAAGGCCCUUCGGGGUACACGAGUGGCGAACGGGUGAGUAACACGUGGGUGAUCUGCCCUGCACUUCGGGAUAAGCCUGGGAAACUGGGUCUAAUACCGGAUAGGACCACUGCCUGCAUGGGUGGUGGUGGAAAGCUUUUGCGGUGUGGGAUGGGCCCGCGGCCUAUCAGUUUGUUGGUGGGGUGAUGGCCUACCAAGGCGACGACGGGUAGUCGGCCUGAGGGGGUGACCGGCCACACUGGGACUGAGAUACGGCCCAGACUCCUACGGGAGGCAGCAGUGGGGAAUAUUGCACAAUGGGCGCAAGCCUGAUGCAGCGACGCCGCGUGAGGGAUGACGGCCUUCGGGUUGUAAACCUCUUUCAGCACCGACGAAGCGCAAGUGACGGUAGGUGCAGAAGAAGGACCGGCCAACUACGUGCCAGCCGCCGCGGUAA